UACGUAGGGUGCAAGCGUUAAUCGGAAUUACUGGGCGUAAAGCGUGCGCAGGCGGUUCGGAAAGUGGGGUGUGAAAUCCCAGGGCUUAACCUUGGAACUGCACUUCUAACUACCGGGCUAGAGUACGGCAGAGGGGGGUAGAAUUCCACGUGUAGCAGUGAAAUGCGUAGAGAUGGGGAGGAAUACCGAUGGCGAAGGCAGCCCCCUGGGAUGAUACUGACGCUCAUGCACGAAAGCGUGGGGAGCAAACAGG
rnacentral:rRNA from 1 species